UGGUUUUGGAGCCUGUCCUGGAACUAGCUCUUGUAGACCAGGCUGGUCUCGAACUCACAGAGAUCCGCCUGCCUCUGCCUCCCAAGUGCUGGGAUUAAAGGCGAAGAUUUAAAAUUCUUAUCCUACAAGUUUUUUGUUUGUAUGGCCUGCUCUUGGGUGGGAGUCGUAAAGUUUCAGCUUGAGGUUCUUUCCUGCUGCUAGGUGUUGCUUCAGGCUAGAUUGCUGAGACUCAGGCCUCUCACUAAAUUUAUCAAGGGCCAGAGUUAUACUCUAAACAAGUGAUAAUGGUUAAAAAUAAAAAACAUUUCCUCAUCCUAGAUGUAAAAGAGGUACCUUUGGGUUAUUUUUAGAUUCUGGCUAUGAUAAAGUAGUUCUGCUGUGGGCAUGGCAGAGCAUGUGUCCUUAUGGUAUGGUUAAACAACUUUGUAUUUAGGCCCAAAAGGGGUACUGCUAAGUUUUGAGGUAGAUAUUUGCCUAAUUUUACAUAAUGGAGGUCCCUCAAUGCUGGGGAGACUCUCACUCAGGUCUUGGGAGGGCGCGGGCCCCCCUCACGGCUCGCCAAAGACUUUGCUUGCUGAGGUCGCACGUGGCCUUGGUUGGUGGGGGAGGAGUUCGACCCCGAGUGACCUGGAAAAAGAAUUUUAGGACAAGAGACCACAGCCCAGAGGUCCAGGAGGGUCAUAAAAAUUUCAAAAACCCAGUGAUGGUCACAGGGGCGCGUCUCCCUGCCUCUCAGGACCACUCCCAGGGUCAUAAUCAGCUAGUUCCUAAAACAGUACUGUGAUAAUUGCAGCUGGAAAACUAGUUUUUCAAGAUUGCAGUCUGGCGCAGGGUCGCUAAACAGGCUAACCCUAGAUUUUUGAUUUUUCUCUUCCUGCUGGGAGAGUCUGGAUUUAUCAAGGUUUUUCAAUACUGUAAGUGAUCCAGGGUGACUGUGCCGGUAUGCACUUCCAACACCAGUCACCGCUCCCAGCGCCGCCGCUGCCGCCACGGGCUGCAGCUCACUUCCAGCGAGUUUUUUCCCUACCCACGUUUUCUUAAGCAUAGGUUUUUAAUAAUUUUUAAUCUUGGUCAUUUUUACAAGGAUAAGGUAAAAUCUCAGAGUUUUGAUUUACAUUUCUCUGACAGUUAAAGGAUGUUAUAUUCAAACAUUUUAGGUGUCUCUCGGUCAUUUUUGAGUUCGUUUGUUGAGACUUUUUCAGUUUAGGUCUAUAACAAAUAUUUUUAUUGGAUUAAAUUUUUAAUAACUAAUUUCUUGAGUUAUUCAUAUAUUUUUGAAAGCGAUUUAUGAUAAGUAAAGAUCUUUUCCCACUCUAUAGUCUUGUUAUACAAAAGGUUCUCAAUUCAGGAGAUCUAGUUUAUGGUUUCUCACAAUGUUUGUGCCACUGAGGCUGUGUUUAUGAUGUGGCAAGGUGUGCUUCAAAAAUUUUUUCUCUGUGAGGUUCAACAUAAAUUUUUAUAUGCUAAGACCUUUGGCUCAUUUGAGCUUAAAUUUUGUACAUGGAGAUGGAUAUAGAUCUAUUUUCAUUUUUCUACAUGUUGGUGUCUAAUGAGGCCAGCAUUAUUAGUUAAAAAAAGCUUCAUUUUUCCAUUUUUCUAUCUGCAAGGCAGACUUACAGCUUAAUAGGAGGAUAACUUACAAACUUUUGGUUGGAUGUCCAAUGGUUAAAGCCCUAGUUAUGGGAGACCUUGAGCUGCUAGGUAAAAUUCUUACAAAAAACAGUUUCCAAUAGAGAGCCUUAAACAGGCUGCCUAACAGGUACGCAAACAGGUAAAGUAUACAAUAAUAAACAAAUACAAUAUAUUAAUUAUAAUUCAGCUAUGGCAAAUGUAUAUUAAAUAUAAAACUUAUUCUAUAACAGUUUUAUAAAAAAAAUGCUGUUUAUGGCUAAACCUUCCCAGUUUUGCCAGUUAAGAUAUUAGACUCUUAAUUUAGAACAGUAGCCUGUCUGAUGUAAAAGGACAGGAUAACAUCUGAAAAAAUGGUUUAAUAGAAUAUUGACUAUGAUCAAUGUUUCUUAUACUAAACAAUAGAUUCAUUGAUAAUUUUAAGAUUGAUUCCUGGACAAUUGUAUUUGCUCAAUUCAAAGGCAAGAACAAUAAUCUUUUCCCAGAUCAUUGCUACAAUUCACACAACUGUAUUUUGCUAAUGUUAUAGCAAAAAAUCCCUUAAACGAUUUUAUGCAAAAAUUUUACAGAUGGCUCUUCCAAUGGAGGAACUGCAUAUAUGGCUAAUAAUAAAAAAAAUUAUGGAGCAUAACAAGGCUCCUUCAAAGCAGCUUAUGAAAGUUGCAAACAGAUCCUGAUGCAAACAGAUCUGGCGUGAUAACACCAAGCUGACCUUUGCUAAGGCAAGGUGGAAAAGCCCUUACAAUACAUUACGAAAAAACCCAACCUACCUAUAUAUAUUUGGGGUCGAGGAUAUGUUUAUGUUUUUUUUCACAGAAAGAAAAUAAAAGCUGGACCUGAGUCAUGGCUGCAGACAUCCCACAGAGGACUUCCAGAGGCGAUUGCAAAGAGGUCCUUGGUGGUCCAGCCUUCCCUGCCCGCAAGGAAAAGAGUGCCUGAUAAUAGAACCUGCUACUCCACUCUGCAGGGUGUCAUCCUGCCUCCAGAGUCCAGGGAGACCAGGCUGAGAUAAGUGCCAGGAUGUGCUUCAGAUAGCUGAAUCCAGCUCACCUCACUCAGGAAUCCCACCUGCCCUGAAGCACAAAUGCUGAACUGCCUCUACAGUUUGAACUCUGGUUUGCUUUGAAGCUAAGAUACAGACUAAACAUCAGACUGUUUUAAUCCUUGGGACACAAAACUCAUUUUAAUUAAAAUAUUAACACCUCUUCACUUAAGAAGGGGGAAGAUUGGGGUUCCUGUCACUGUUGCUCAGAGACUGGAACUGGUGGUAUUUGAUGACAACAAUGUAUGUCAUUGUACUCUUACUGCAAUUGAUCUAAUGAUAUUUGUAACUGCUUUUAUAGAUGUCGGGAAAGGUUUGAUACAUGCUCUAAAGUGUUUGGGUUUAAUGCAUAUGUUAAAAAAUUUUAGAUUUAGACCCCCUUUACACUGCACUAAUUUUUGGCAGACAGCACUCAUAAUUUUUAUGUGGAGUAGGCAUUUAGGAAGGAGGAUACCUUAGGCCAGACUAAAAGGUGAAUACUGGGUUUGGAAAAGGCCCUUUCUUCUUGUCUGGAAGAUGGAGUUAUUGGUGCCCAAAAUUAUAUCAUUAUAUCUUUUGUUUGAGGAGCUCCUCACAGUUUUUCAUUAAUGAUAGACUCAGGGGCCCAAUGACGGGAGUUAGUGUGGAUCCUCACCUGAAUAGCACACCAUACAGAGGCUGUAAAGGCCGGCUCAACAUGGCAUGGUGCCAGGUACGAGGAACGCUCUCCACAUGGCCUAAGACAGGGUGCCCUGUGGUCUGCUUACCUUAAUCUUGCUAGAUACCUUUUAUUUGAGAAGCUCCAAGGAACUAAUGCUAAUCAUAAGGCACCCCUCUGUUCCCAGGAGAGGUAAAUUGCUUCACCAUUCGAGAGGAGGGUCUCUACUUGUCCCAGUUCUUUCUCUUUUAAAUCUGACACCGGGGUUGACUCUGACUUGGUGCCCUCCACUUAAUAACUGCUUGCCUUUAUAUAAGAGAGGGGGAAUAUGUCAGGAGCCAUUUCCCCCCAAUCAUUACAGGAACCAUCAUCUUGGGGAGUCUGCAGAGAACCUCACACCCAUAAUUAUGUUCUAUUGAGAAAACCUGCCCCUCACCCAAUUAACUUAUCUGUUAGCAGAACCUGCCUCACAUUCCAGCUAUCCAGGGAACCAGGUGUGGCCACUUGUGACUUCUGGCCUGUCUGUCUGAAUGUAACCGAGCUACGUGACCGGAACCACGCGGCCUGCGAGAUCCCGUACCCUGCCCCUCAUCCCUUACCAUAUAUAAACUGUAACCCGUCCCUAAUAAACGGAGGCCUUGACAAA